ACGUCAGCAAUUUCGAUUCAGCAAAAACCGACGCAUAAGGAAUCCAGAAGUUUUGUAAAAAGUAUUACAGUAACCUGUGGAAGUUUCUUUGAAAAAUUAAUUGUGAUAUCUAACUACCUAACUGAUAGAUUUCAAGUUGUGAAGAUAAACUAUUUUAAAUAUUCUAGAUUCUUAUAGUUUGUUGGUGAUCUAAAAUGUCAUGUCGCUAUUUACAAUCAGGAUAAUUGUCUUAAACUUCAAUCUGACCUUACUCUAUACUUCACAAAACACAAUACAACUGUGUUCAGCUAUUGCAUAAAUAAAUCUGCCUUGACUUAGGUCUCAAACAUCAGUGAUCUUGGAGUGAUAGACUCCACAUUUUAUUUGUUACUCUCAUCGAGGCAUAGUUUCCAGAGCGCUAAGUAUGGUCGGCUUCAUAAAACGAUCAACAUCAGACUUCACAAGUACACUGUUGCAGAUAGAUAGAUAGAUAGAUAGAUAGAUAUUUAUUUCGCUUUUCGAUACUACAUAUAACACAUAUAUGGGUAUAUUAAGCACGUCACAUCACAUUAAAAUACAGUGUUUAAACAAUACAUUUAAAAAAUACUGAGUAGAGACACCUAAACACAGAUAAACUUUCAGUUUCUUUGAAGCAUUUAUAGAAAUUUUAAGCUCUGUUAUAUACUUUCAAACCAAAAUACCUUGGGUUUUGUUGCCCGAUAUGCAGUCUAGAGAAUGGAACGUCCAAGUAAUCUUUUUGCCGUGUGUCAUGUUCGUGUAAGUCACAUCUCCUAUUCCAUCUUAUCAUGUUACUUUUGACGUAAAUCAAAACGGAAUAAAUAUAUAAUGAUGGAAGUGUCAUGAUCUAAAGUUCCUUAGAUAAAUCUCUACAUGAAUGUUUACUAGUUACACGCAUCAUGUAACGAAUAGCACGUUUUUGUGCUAAGAAGACCCAGAGUGCACCAGAGGCUAGACCCCGAUAGAUUAUAUCGUAGCCUAUCACUGAUUGGAACAGCCCAUAGUACACCUGCUUUAAAACGUCAAUGGAUACCGUAUCUCGAAUAUUUUGGAUUAAGUAUGAGCAGGAGCUUAAUUUGGGCAAUAUGUUGUCGAUGUGAUGAUUCCAUGUAAGUUUGUUGUCAAUGUGCAGACCGAGAAACUUAGUAGCCUCCACGUUUUCUAUUGAACGUCCCUCUAAUUGGAGAAGAAUACCGGAAUCAACGCGAGUAUUUUUUGUGCCUAUUUCCAUAGCUAUUGACUUAGAUUUAUUUAAUUGUAGUCCGUUAUCGCGACACAAUUCAUUCACCCUCGUGACCCUUGGUUCUGCGGCCCCUUUUAAAUUAGCUCUGCUUUUAUCUGCAUACAGUACAAAUAAUGCAUCUAUAUUAUCCUGAGGAAGAUCGUUAAUAAAACAAUUAAAGAGGAGCGGUGAUAGGCAGGAUCCUUGCGGGGUACCUCUGCCUACAUAUUGAGGGCUCGAUUUUGAACCGCCGAUCACAACCUGCUGUACUCUCUCGGAGAGUUUUUUUAAGAGCAGGCUAUGAUCGACAGUGUCGAAUGCGCGGCUCAAAUCAAAAAAUAAACCUAAUGUGGCUGUUUUGUUAUUAAGGCUAUUGUAGAUAUGCUCCAGAGCACAGUCCAGAGCUGUACUUGUGGCGCGGUUGGCUAGUAUACCUGGACUCCAAAAUUUUUGCCACUUGACAUUGAAGAGCUACGGGGCGGUAGUUCUCUAUGUUGGUUUUAUUGACUUUAUUUUUAAAAAUAGGUACGAUUUUUGACUUUUUUAAGGCCUGUGGAUACUUGCCCCGGAGGAAGCUCAAAUUGACUAAAUAUGAUAGAAUAGGAGCUAUAAUAUCUUUAACAGAGAUUAACAAAGUGCCCGGUAUUUCAUCGAUUCCAGAUGAUUUCUUACGGCAUACUUUUAUAAUUACUUGUGUUAUCUCUACUGUUGUAAUAGGGUAGAGAAACAUCGAGCUUCAGUGCUUGCUUGCUAUUGUUAGCAAGAUCAGCAAAAUAUUUGUUAAAAAUUUCACAGAUUUUGUAUCCAUCUUGUAGUGUUUCACCACCAACGGUUAUGUUGGUUAUAGAAGAGGAUUUACUUUUAUGGUUGCUAUUUUCGCUGACUAUUGCCCAACUUUCUCUGCUUAUGUUAUCAGAUUUCAUUAACCUUAAAUUGUGGUGAGUUUUCUUUGCGUGUUUAAGUUUUUUGUUGUAAUGGGAUUUAAGUCCUUUGUAUUUUUUAUUAUAUAGAUCAUUUUUUAUUCUUUUGUUUAUUUGAUGCAUCUCGUGUACUGCACGACUCAGCUCUCUUAAUUCUCUAUUAAACCAAUAGGUUUUUUUCCUGUUCGAGACUUUUCCUUUUUUUGUAAAUGGAAAACUUGACAUAAAUAUUUGUUUCAGUUUUUCGUAAAAAGUGUGAUUUUUUUAUCUAAGUCGUCAGAUUGAAUAUCGUAGAGCAAAUUAUUCCAAUCUGUGUUGGAUACCAAAUCUAUAAAAGAAUUUACAUUAUUUUUGCUAAACUUUCUGAAAAAGCGUUCUGCACAAUUAUUAUGAAAGAACUUCUCAAAAAUGAAGAGCUGAAACGUGUUGUCAGAGAUACAUGUGUCUACUGCCACGCCUUUUAGUUCGGUAAAGUCGACGAAAAUAUUGUCAAUGCAUGUUCUAUAAUGAUAAGUUAUUCUAGUGGGCUCUUCUAUAGAAGCAACUAAAUUAUACUCAAGAAGUAUAUUUUUUAAUAUUUUAGUUUGUUUGUUGUUUUCAAGCAAGUUGACGUUAAUGUCGCCGCACAAACUGUGCUUAUUUUUUGGUUCGUAUAUAGCUUCUAACAUUAUUGAGAGUUUCUCUACAAAUGCUUCGAAGUCUCCCUUUGGAGAUCGGUAUACAGAGAAAAUUGUGAUACAUUCCUUGUUAAGCUCUAAUUUUAUUGAACACAUUUCAAAAGUUUUUUCUUCAGAGUUAUUAAAUGGAAUUUUUGAAAAAUUUACACUUUCUCGACCCAAGAUACAGACUCCCCCUCCUCUGCAACUAGUUCUCGAGAAAUAACUAAGAACCUUAUAAUCUAAAAGCUUAAGAAGAUUAAUGUCUGAGGAUUCAUGAUGUUCUGAUACACAGCACAUUGACGUCGUGGUUAUUUAGUAUUGAUUCGAGGGCUUCUUUUUUGUUUGUGAUACCCCCUUGAAUAUUAAGGUUCAUAACUACGAAUUUGUUAGGUGUCUCACCGUCUGCAGUUGUCUUUAAUUGACCGAUGCCGUCCUGAAGUUUCAUAAACAUCGUAGAAAUUACACUAGUGCUAACAUUACAGCUAUCGCAGAACCAUUUGAGAUUUGGUGUUUCUAGCAAUAAUUUCACUUUAUCUCGCGAUAAAUUGAUACAUUGUUUAUGAAAAAGUGCGUUCUACACACCACUACAAUUAAUUUUUAUAUCGUUUGCCAAAAUUUCCUGCAAACAGGAUCCGCACCUUAGCGGUACGUCUGAACUCGCUGCCGCCAUCACAACACAAUGCAUAGUUAGACUUUUAUUAGAAUAUAGCUCAACAGUCUGGAACCCUUAUUAUGCAAAUUAUAUUCAUAUAUUUUUGUGGCGGAUAUGACUUUAAAGUGCUUCAUGAGAGAUUUGAACGACCAAAAUUGAGGGGUCCAUAUUGCUUUCUUUAUUGAUUGUUUUGGUUUCAUCUAGAAAUACCGCAUUCCUAUGUUUUAUCGCCUUGAGGUGUACGAAGGUUGGACUUAAUUGUUCCAUCACACGUGUGGCAGGAAUAGUUACCUCAUAUUCUAAUCACUUUGAUUUUUUUGACGCCAGCUCUAAGAGUUCUGCAAGUCUCUUGAAACGUUAUGUGAUAUAGGUAUAAAGUCUAUAGUAAUUUAUUUACAUUUGUAUUGAUACUUCUGUUUCCUUUUUGUAUUUAGAUUAUAAUGGAAUAAUUGAAUGGUUUAUUUGAGUUGAUUAGUUCUAUUGAUAUAUCUCGUACUAAAAGACCCGUUAAUAAAUAAAUACAAAUAUUUUGACCAUCUAUGUUCACAAAUCUAUUUUUGUCAUUUUGCCAAACUAAAAGUGAAUGAUGAUAAUGGCAAAACAGAGUCAAUUAUAGUGUGUUGCUCAGUAAAUUGCUAGCAUUUAGUCUUCAGGGAACUUUUCUCCAUACUGGAUGACUAGCUAUUGAAAUUAGGUGGCUCUUACUUAAUGAAAAUCCAUUUUUGUGUUAUGUAUGUAUGUAUUUGGUAAAGGAACGGUACUGCCGAAACAACAUAAAUUGAAUGGGAAAACCAAUUUGCCGAGUUUAUGUUUCUUGAACUUUUGGUUGCUUAAUAUAGGACAACAAAUGUGCGAUGUUUUGACACUAUUAAAGUCUACAUUUCCGGUUUGGGCGGAAACGGCUUUUGAUUUUUAAAUAGCACCUCCCCACCCCCAUGAAUUUUUGCAUGCAGAUGAUUUUACGCAGGAUACGACCAUUUCCCAGUUUUGUUUUCUUAAAAUUAUCUUUUUAUUUUGAAAAUUAUAUCUAGACGACCACGACAAAUACUAAUUACUGGACUAGCCAUUUUUUAGAAUAACUAGUUUUUUUCAAAUAUCAUCUCAGUUGGAACAUACAGUUUUUAAAACCGACUUUUUUUGCAAAAAAAAAGUUGAAAAACAGUUAUAGAGCAAGCUCACAGGAAGAAAAAAGCAGAUCAGUAAAUACAUAAAAAUAAAUAUUAUAUAGAAAGCGUUGCUUCAGUGCAUAAUAUUCUAAUUAAUAUAUCAAAUAUCUAGGGUUAGUUUAUUAUAUCCACGGUAUCAUUCACGGCGGAAAAUACAGUGUUGUUGUAUAUGGAAUAUUUUAACAGGAAAAACUAUUUUUAAACUAUAUUCACUAACAACCAACAAAGAUAAUUACAACUUUUUUUAAUCGUCCAGCUUUAGCAGUUUUGGAGAUAUUUAAGCGUUCUGUAAUUUUUAACUAAUCCUGUAUAAAUGUCAAUGUCAAUUAAAGACCACGGAGAUUAUUCAAGAAUUAAUUUAAAUAACUGCGGAAAAAACUAAGGUCAAUUUCAAAUAACCCCCAGGAAAAAUAUGGAUUCCAAGAACUGUUUAACUGAUAAAAUUACACCAUUUUGCAAAAAUCGAGUGUAAAUAGAUUUUGCUUUCUUUAGCAAAAGGGUUUUCCUGUUUCCUGCAUCAAACUUUCCCUAAUCAGGAAUAGCAAAUGCACAAAUAAAAUUCAUGCCUGCCUUUGCAGUUAUGCCUAGAAAGCCGUUAAUUGAUGUCUAC